rnacentral:lncRNA from 1 species
CACUUCAGCCAUCUCUUUUCGUCCAUUUCUUUUGUAUAUUGUAUGGGAACCAUCCUUAUCAAAAGAUAUCACUUUCAGUAAACAAUUACAUUACAAAAUCAUUUUCUUUCUUUGUUUUUCAUUUUUUGCCUUAAAUGGAACCAUUUAGAGAAGAGAAAAGCUAAAACUAGAUGAUAAACAGAAAGAUUAAAACAAAAUUGAUAAAUAAACAGAAAGGUUAAAAACAUAAAAUAAAAAAGAAAACAAAAAGCCCUGAAACAAAAGUAAUCAAUUCUCUUAAGAAAAUGUAGUCCUUUCUCUUUGGUUAUGUAAACUGAUUGAUUGUGUUUUGAUAUCAUCUCCUGUUAUGAACAAGGAAUAUUUGUGAUGAUUACUGGUUCCCAUUUUCUCAACUACUUACUGAUUUUUAUUAAGAACAUUACUUUAAGUAAUCAGCUGAUAUUUAAUUCUCUUACUGAUGGUACCAUACAUUGUUCACAGAGCAUCUAAUCAGCCAGGUGAAUGUGUUAAUAAUAUGCUGUGGUUGUGCCAUCAUCACUCAAUUUAUUCAUAACAACUAAAACAAUAUAUAAUCAUCAAUAUCCAUGGUGUGUAUGUGAUUUAUAUUGGCACCAAUGAAACAGUGCUGUGAUAAUCUGUUUCCUUUUUCUUCAUUUUUUAUUCUACUUUUAUGACUACAUAAUUUUUUGAACACUAGAAGCUGCAACAAGUAACCUCUUUCUGCGUCUAGAAACUUUUCUUGAAAAGCAAGAGGAGACAAUCUAUUGUUUGGUUAAUACUCUGUUUGUUCACAAAAUGGUCUUACAAAAUCUUGAGCUUAUUUCUAGUAAGAUACCAGCCAAAAUCCUAUUAUUGUUUCUUUCUGCCUAAAUAUAAUUCAAUGUACAGGUGCUAUAUCUCAUCUCCGUCAUAUUUUUCCUUUUUCUUUCCAUCCUGUUACGUUACAAGUCCAUUGCAAAACUCGGUCUUGACCAUGUUAUCUUCUCUACUGGCAUGAACGAACUCAAACAGUCCAAAAGUGGGUGCGACGAAGUAUCAAAAAGCUGUAAAUGUGGUUUCUUUUACCAGUUGACGUGACGUCUUCCCUGUUUUUCAUAAUUCCUGCCUCUUAUAGUAUUGUUUUCACUGCUUCCCAACCGAAGAUAUUUCUUGGGGAGCAUAAUGUUAUAAUUUUGGCAUAUUCCCAACUUUUGUAUGGUGAGGAACAUAUCUAAUUAAGUUUAACGCUUGGAAUAUGGAUAAGAAAUGAUUUAGAUCAAGUUGAAUGAUUUAAGAUCAGUGUCACGAGAAAACUGGUUUUAGUUAAGAGAACCCUAAUGGGUUGGAAGUCAUCUAUUUAAAUACUUACUAUGUUAUGAGGAGUCAUUGAAAAUUCCAAUCCAAGUAGUCUAAUAAACUUAAGUAGUGCUUCCUGUACACUAGUUGGAAUUGUAUUGUGUUGGGGAAGGUUGCAUGUCUCAGACAAUGAAAAAUUAUGUGCACUUCAGCAUGACAACACUGCAAAUUAUCUGAUGAUCUUUCCUUGAAAAAAUUAACUUCGUAAAUACCAUUCCUUGGCUCCGUGAUUUUGUUGAUCCAAUUGGUACUAGUGGAAAAGGAAAAGGCAAAUGCAGAGAUAUUUUGGCAUUUCUUGCUGCAGCAAGCUGGCUGAUAUAUAAGCAAUUCUUAAACUGGAGUUAUGAUUGGUAUUUCUCUAGUAGAUAGUACAAAUAGAUGUUAGAGGCAUUUAGCUUGCUUUUGGAUCUUCUUGUGAUGUAAGACGUGAGAUAUUAAGGUGGCUGAAAACUUGUUUAGGGAAAUAAUAAGAAUAUAUUUUCCCAAAUAAUCACCAGUCCAAGUUCUAUAUUCUUCAAUAUUUUGGCGGCUCAUAAAAGUUAGAAACCAUAUGAAAGUAUGGUUGCAGGAAAUUUUCACAACCCCAAGUUCCUAAUAGCAUGUAUACCAUUUUAUAACUUCAGUUCGUCUCCAGUCACUUAGGCUUAAAUGUGAAUGCUGAAAUUUAACUAUUGACUAUAGCUUUCUUGUGUUAUUAAUCCUUUGAUACUAUAUUCCAACUCAAUGAAAUUCCACUGGGGGCAUCGACCUGAUGGUUUCUUUGUAUUUCAUAGCCCUCACUGAAUUGCAGGUAUGGUACCUAAGUAGCGAUUGUAGCUGUUACAGUUAUAGAUCACAAUGUGAAACAAGGCUAUUAGAAUUGGUAUAUUGGUUGCAAAUUUGAGACCUUGUUAUGUUCGACUAUUUUAAGCAUGCAAGUCUUGAUCAUAGCUCAUCAUUACCAAUUGCAACUAUAAGGCCUUCAGGCAUGAUUUAAUUUUUCGAAUUCAUUAUGCAAAUGAACAGUGUGUAUUGUCUUGCAUCUUUUAUUGAAAAUGUUUAUUAGGCUUCCAGAUAUAUAUGGUGAUUAAUUUGAAAACUAGGAACAGGUUCAAAUGCAUUACUUGUAUAUUCUUUUGCAGCCGUCUGCCAGAACUGCCAAAUUUGACAAUAAAGCUGCAUUUAGAAAAAUAGGAGAUGAAAAAGAGUUCAUUGUCUAAUGGUUCAAGUUUGCUGCAGGAAAUAAAUUGUGCACAUCCUUCUGUCAGCAUGCAAGAGCAGUACAAAUAUCAUGUCUUCAUACGCGCGCAUCCAUGGAGUACACUCAUGAUAAAUUCAUUAACUGGAAGCAGAGGAUGGAUCUAAGGCAACUGCUGCUUAUUUUAUUGGUAAUCUCGAGUUUUGCCCAAAGUGAUGUUGCUCCUGAUUUCUGAGUUGACACUGACAAGUUUUUGCUGGAACCUAUUGAGCAAAAGUUAUUCUUAAGAUGAGAUCAGGGUUGGCCUGUAUUCCUUUCUCAGUUGCAAGUUUCAAUUUAGAUUCGAUGAGUUUCAACUCCUUUUAAACUCCACCUGAGAGAUUGCAUCCCCUCCAUCUCAUUGAAAUCGGGUAAAGGAUCCAUGUAGAACAAUAGUUUACAGAUUGAAAAUGCGUUGCAAGUAUUUAUGGAUAAGAGGCGUUUUUCUAUAUGAAAACCUUUGUACUCGAACUUGCUUGCAUCAGUUUUCCUUUAAAAAAAUUGUAAUUUUCUUCUCAGAUGAUUAUUUAUAGUCUUCGCUGGUCUGUUGUACAUUUAAAAUAAGAAAUAUUCAGUUGUUUAAAGCAAAUAAUUAAGUCAUAAAGAUUCUUUUUAUUAGCUUUCAGUUUAUAUUAGAAAUAAGGAUUUAACAUAGAUCGGUUGUCAAUUUCAGCUUAGGAUCUUUUCUUAUUAGUUCAAUGGAAAAAUCGUUCAAAAUAUUUUUCAUAUUUUGUUACAUGAAUUUGUUUGCCCUUCACUUUUAAAAUAGUAAUUUUACAUCCUUUAUAAAAUCAAGUCGAUAAAAUUUAAUCCUAAUGUAAAUUUUCAACUACUUUUAAUUAUGAAUCAAUCAUAUGAUUCACAUAAGGUCUUUUUCCAGGGUAAAAACUUUAGAUUUCAUUUAUAGUCAAAUAAAUGAUCCAAUUCAUUUUUCCUCUUAAAAACUAGAAUUUGGUCCAAUUCUUAAUCAUUUUUACAACUUAAAAAGUGGUAUUUGACAUUUUUAUAUAUAAAAAAUUAUUGUACGUGGGUCAUGCGAUGAUUUUAUCCUAAAAAGUGGUUAGAAAUUUAAGUUGGGAUUAAAUUUUGCUAAUUUGAGUUUGCAGUGGAUGUAAAUUUAAAAAUGAAGAAUGAAAAUAUUUAUUUGACAAAAUGUGAGAAACGUUUUGAAUUAUUUUUUCUAAUUCGAUUAAUUUACACUUUUUAGUUUAGAGAAUCAUCUAUUCAUUUUCUAUUAUGAUGCUUCUUUGAUUGAAGAUUGAGAACCAGAUCUGCAGUUCUCCCAGGAGCAAGAGCAAAUAAUACAUAAAAAAACAAAUUCGGAAAAUCUUUCUAUUCUAUGACAAUCUCUAAGGUGGUUCUCCUGUGUCUUUCUCCGUGUGUGUGUCAAGUGGCGGAACCAAAUGGUUGAGGGUGGACAAUUAUCCUCAACUAUCAAAAAUUAGAAAUUAGGCAUAGAACUUUCUAUAAUUUUUCAGUUAAUCUAACAUUUGGACCUCUUGAAUUUUGUAAAAUUUUCUUUUACUCUCAUAUUGCCCCCCGUAAAAAUAUAAAAAUUUCCCACUAUCCUAUUUGGAUAGUGAAAAUACCACAUGAAUAAAUAAGGAUAUGAAGAAAUAAAAUUUUCGUUUAUUGUAGGAUGCUCGUUGCCAAAGAAAGUUCAAGAUUGGAAGCAUGUGGAAAUGUUAGCGGCAGCAGCAGCAUUUCAGUUAGGCUAUCAAUUGGAAGCCAAGGGCUCCGAGCUUGAAGGGGAUGCACAAGGUGUCAUAAAUCGAUUUAGGUAUUCAAGUAUAGAUAUUGAUUUAUCUAGUUUAGGCCCUUUAAGCGAGAAUAUUAUGAGGGAAUUAACUAGUUUAAAGGGAUCUAGUAUUUCAUGAGUAGAAAUCAUAAUAAAGUUACUCAUAUGCUAGCCAAGAAUCCAAAAUUCAGAUGUGAUCAUGUCUUUUGGUGAAGAGAUCCUCCAGACUUUGUUGUGCCAUUUCUAAUGGAGAAUUUGAUAGAAAGUUAAUGAAUAUUUAAUGUUUUAAUAAAAAAAAUGUGAAGACUUUUGAAAUUAAGCACAACAUAAGAAUAUGUUAUAAAACUAAUGCUAAUGUGAUAUAGGAUUUGAGUUAUUUAUGUGGUGAGUAAUAUGUUAAGAAAACAAGAAAAUUAAAAAGUUCAGGAGAAGAGAAAUGUAAGAAAACAAUUAUUCUUUCAUUCACUCAAAUAAAAUCUCAAUUUUCUAUCACUUUGAUACAAAGUGGGUAACCCCUAUUUAUAAGGGAAAGUGCAACAACUAACUUCUUUAAGAUGGUGAUACAAUCUUCUCGUAAGACGUAAUAAUUUUAUCGACAGUCGUGCAGCUUUAUUAAAAGUCGUGCCAUCUUUAUCACGUCAAAAGUGGUGAUAGUUUGUCAUCUCGAAAAACAUGAAAGACUUGUCAUCAUUUAGGGAAUGAGAUAAAAGUAAUAGACAUCUACAAUAUUUAAUUAUUUCAUAACAGAAUAACCUUUGUCUAAUUUUUCUUUUGUAUAACAAGAAUUAAAACUUAAGUCAUAUGUUAUUGAUUCAAGGGAUUGUUGCCCAUCCUAAUUAUUGUCUUAGCUCCGCCCCUGAAUAUCCUAAUUGUUGUUCUCCAAGAACAAUCCCUUUGUGUGCUAUAUUAUGGUCCAUAACAUGGCCUUACAUCUUGAAAUCUCCAGUAUUCGGUGCACCCCUAAUCACAAAUAUGCCUUCCACAAAAAGAAUAGGUUAUAUAACACAUCUGGAACACUGAAUCCUCACCAAAAAUUUCUGUUGUUUAUGUCCCCUGUGUAAUUUAUCCAGGUGAUGAUCUGCAAUAUUUAAGUUCAAACGUAGUGCAAUGCCUAAAACACCAAUAACUUCUACCUCUCUCUAAGAAUACUCAAUUAACUAUUCUUCAACUAUGCAAUUCUUUUUAUUGGAAACCAUUUCCAUUAGUUAGAGUCCUAUCUUAAAAUUGAAUGAGUCGUCAUGUCUAAAUCUAGUCCAAGUGAGUCAAUCAUUAACUUUAAGCAAGCUCUGUCUAAUUAAGCAUUAUCCUCAUCACCAAGCCAAAGUACGGAUUGGUAUAACUUUUAACUAAAGAAAUAUAUCACUAUUUAAUAUUAAAAGGUGUCAAUCAGGGAGCUUUAUUAAUUGGAAUGAAAAUCAAAUAGGAGGGAAUGAUGUUAACAAUAUUAAAGGGGAGAAAAAUGAAGCAUGAAGAAGGAUGAUAUCAUUCCUCCAUCUAGCAUACCCUGUCCAGAUUUUUACUUACAAGCUUAAUUUGCAAUGUUGACGUGCACGGCAGUUUCACAGUACAGUACUUUUUGGUUAUAUGUGCAUAUAUAUUUGUGUUUUAAUUGAAAUAUAUUUUAUGUUGUAUUCGUUAUUAUGAGAAAAUUUUAUGGUCCCUUUAGGGAACCAUUUCCUCGAAUUGUAUCUCUCAGUGAUAAUAGUGAUUCGUAUAGUUAAUAUGUAAGGGUCAAAUCCAAAAAGGAUUGUUGCUUCUCCCGCUAUUAUGAUGUAUUUUUAAAAUAAAGAACUAUCCAUUUAGUACUCGACAAGCUACAAAGUCUAUUGCCAUGAUGACUUAGUGAAUAAAGUAUUUCAAGUUCCAACCAUUUAAUAAUUCAAGAAUAAAUUUGGGAUGAGGGAUGGGUUGAGCAGUUCGGAGGGAGGGAAUGAAAGUGAGAGAUUCCGGAUUCAAGUUUUCCCACUUAUAUGAUUAAAAAAAUCAAGAAUAAACUUAGAAAGUACCCUCAAGUACCUUUAUAUGGUUCAAGGGAGGAGGAGGAAAGAGGAGACUUCAAGUCCAAGCCUUGUAUGUCCGUAUAAUUUUUUUAAAACUCAAUAUUGUGAUUGGCCAAUCUAAAAACUAAAGGAAGCAUAUAGAAAUAAAAAAAAAAACCAAAAUGAAUUUGAGAAAAAUCUGUAGGGUUAACAUAUCUACUUUGAAUUGGUUUAAAUCAAUGUCUCCUAAUUGGGGAACACUUUAACAAAGCCUACUAUACAAGGAGUUUUAAUUAAUUUUGCAUACUCAAAAUUUCAUAUAUUACUAAUAGGUAUGAAACUGAAUGAUUUGGAUGAAUUAUUAAUGAGAGAAUUGGAAUGGUUCACUUCAAAUUCCUUCAACAAAAACUUUUAUCCAUAACUUUUUUAAUACGGUUUUUCCUAAUAAUCACAAAUAGUGAUUGACCCACUCUAUUUUGGCAGUAAAAAAUUGAAUGAUAUCAUGUUAUUAAACUAUCAACAUAGGUCCCAUAAUUAGCUGUGCUUGCAUUAUAACUGAGGUUUUGAAAAAGUGGUUUUAGUAAUUAGUAUUGAUUCGCCUAACAUAUUUAAACCUGUAGUUUGAGAUAAAUUUUUCCUCUAGAUGAUCUUUUUCCUUUUCAUCCUUUCAUAUCUUUUUUCUAUAGUAGUGAAAAAGAUAAACAUCAUAUACUUUUUUAACACUUAAAGUUUUCUAAAUUGGACUAGAGGAAGCCUUCACUACUUCUAUUAAGAUGUCCUUUUUAUUUUUUUGAGCAUCAAACCUAAAACUUUCAGAUAUUAUUAUCUAAGAAAGUUUCUAAGUUAAAAAUUUUUAACUCAUCUAGAUGAUCUAUUUUCUUUUCUUGUAGUUUUUUUCCUUGGAAAUUAUCUUUUAUAUAGUUGUGGCUUGAUUAGUCUCAAAACUUUUAAAAGUAUUGUGAAUUGAACUAUAGAUUUUUGGAGGACACAUAAGUAAUGAUUGCUUCAAUUGAGAUUUCCCUUUUUAUAUGUUGAGCCUUAACAUAUUAUUUAAAUCCUUAAAGUGUUUUGAUUCAAGGCACGCGUAAGCUAUGUUUCCAACUGCAAGGUACAAUUUUCUCUCCAAAAAAACUAGAAAAUGAAAUAGUAAAUUCUGAACAAACAUUGUUUUCAAAUCCAAUGUAGAACAACAAAAAAAUGUUAGACAAUAGAAUAAUUGUUAGAAUACAUAACAAUUGAACUUAAUCUUAUUUCUUUCAUGCAAAAAGAAAAUUUAUUUCUAAUCGAGUAUCACCACCCAUUGGUUUUAAAGGAAAAGGACAAUUUUUGUUCAAUCAUCAAUAAUUUAAGCUUAUGGAAGUCAAAAAAUAGUGAACUCAAACUGUAGAGAUUGAAAAUAACGAUCUACACAUGAAAAUGUCGUUCUUGAUAAGGAAUAAUUAUUUAGUAGCAUCUCCUCCCUUUAAGGGAGAGUUUAUUUUUCAUCAAAUACAAAGUUUCCUUCUCAGCUUAAGGCACUCGUUCAUUUAGAUAAUAUUAGCAUGCCUUAUGUUCACUUAUUCAAUCUUUAUCAUGUGCAGGAUCUUAGGUCAAUGUCCUCCUCCUUCAAUAAUUUAUUAUUUUUCAUAAUAAAAUCAUAGGGCUGACACUCCUUCUUUGUGUAUGGGAGUUGUCAAAAAAAUUAAUAAUUAUUUGGUAAAUACAAACUCGAUAGAUACAAACACAUUGAAAUUUAAAUAGGAUUAGAGAGGGCAUUGUCUUUAGCAUAUUGCCUAAGUAAUUAUAGCGUAUCUAUUGAAACAAUUUCAGAAUAUUUAUAGCAUAUGUAUCAAUGCAAUUUUUGAAUGUUGCCCAUGUAGUAAAAUGAAAAGAAACUACAGCCUAUUGUUCACUAUAAUCUCAAUGAUGUUUACUGAUGUAACGGCUAAUUCAAUGAACAAAAAAUAGCCCAAUGGUUGGGGAAGGGGUUUUAGAGUCUUCCCCUUGUCAAGUUCAAGGUUCAAAUCUUAUACUUGACAAUUGGGGAUGGGAAGAAUAUAUGAAGGGAUGGGAGGUUAGAGGAUUAAAAAAAAUGAACAAAAGAUAGUCUAGGAAAAUAAGAAGCAAGAAGAAAUGUAUUCUUUUAUAACCCCUACUGCCAACUUGUGAAUAGAAUUUUCAGUUUCAACUAUUUAAUAAUUCAAGAAUAUACUUAGAAGGUACUCUCAAGUACCUUUAUUUGGUUCACACAUAUUCAUAUUUUUUGUUUUGGUUCAAUGAGAGACUCCAAACUUUAUAAAGAAGGAGGAAUGAGGAGACUGCAAGCCUUGUGUAUACUUAUUUUUCAUAAACUCAAUCUCGUGAUUGGACUUUCUAAAAACUAAAUGAAGCAUAUAGAAAUAAAAGAAAAAUAAAAAUGAAGUUGGGCAAAAUUAGUAGGGUUAACUCACUAACUUAAAUUGGUUAGGGUCGAUGCCUCCUAAUUGGGAAACACUUUAACAAAACCCACUACAUAGAGAGUUUUAAUUGAUUUUGUAUAGUUACAAUUUUAAAUAUUAGUAAUAGGUGUGAAGCUAAAUGAUUUAGAUGAAUCCAUGGAUGAGAGAAUUGGAAUAGUUUACUUCAAAAAAUUUUUAUCCACAAUUUUUUAAUGCGGUUUCUUCCUGGUAAUCAAUAUGAGUGAUUGACUCGCUUUGUUUUAGCAGUAGAAAUUUUAAUGAUAUCAUGCUAUUAAACUACUAACACAAGUCAUAUAAUAGGAAUGCUUGCAUUAUAAUCAAAACUUUGAAGAAGUGGUAUUAGUAAUUACAAUUGGUUCAUAUAACAUGUAUAAACUUGUGCUUUGAGAAAUUCUGCUUCUAGAUGAUUUUUCAUCAUUUCAUAUCUUUUUUCUAUAGUAGUGGAAAAGAUAUGCAUCAUAUACUUUCCCAACUCCUAAAAUUUUCUAAAUUAGACUAUAGUAAGGCUUCCUGGAGUAGGGGCGAAUUUCUAUAAAUAAUGUUAAUAAGAGAAAAAGUCGGAGAAGUGGUGUUGUUUCAGGAUUCGUGAUGGUAGAAGGGUCACCACAUUUGAAAUUAUCGGUAAUAAAUUUUUUUUUCUUUUUCUUUUUCUGUUCCGCAACUGGACUUUUUUUAUUAAGAUGCUUCGCCGCAUGCAGUAGUGCAUGUGAUGAUGACCCAAAAUUUUUAAAUUUUUUUUUAACGAAACCCUAAACCCUAAUUCGUAAAUUUUGAACCCUAAUUUAUAAACCCUACAUCCUAAUUAAUUAAUGCUAAACUCAAAAAUGAUCUUAGAAUGUGUUAUGCUUUUAAGCAAAAAUUACGUUAAAAACAUGCUAAUUUGUUUUCACCAUCAUUCGGUGAUCAAAUACCGAUGAAUGGGUAAAAGCAAGGUUGAGAUUCCAAAUUCAAAUACAAAAAUUGAUUUAAAUUAAUGACGCUGCAUCCUAAUUAUGAAAGUUUUUUAAUUUUAUGAAUACUUUUCCAUUUUGUCCCCUUAAACUAUACGCGAAAUCCCACUUCAUUACCUAAACUUUAAAAUCGGACACUUAAAUCCCUAAACUACAAGCUCCGUCUCAGUUUAAUAAAUUUAUUAACAGAAUCUUGAACAUCGUUAGUGUUCUUAAAGUGUGAGAAACACGCACCGUUAACUGAGGUCAUUGAGGGAAUUUCACAAAAAUAUAAAAAGUAAGGAAAUUAAAUUAGAAAAGUGUUUCCUUCCAUCUAACCAUCACAUUUGAUUUGAGUCAUUUAUUUAACUGAUCCAAGUCCUAGAAGUGCAUUCCACAUGCCUUGUACAUGUAGAAACUAAGUUGUUGAAUCUUCAGGGGAAGAACGAAGAAAAAAAUGCAAAUCCGAGUCCAUUUUCUCAGAUUUUGAUCUGACACCAUCAAAUAAAACCAGAUUUCACUUUUUCUUACUACAACAAUCAGCAGCUAUUAAGGGUUAUGAAGGUUCGCCUGGGCCUAUUCUUCAGAUUUUUAGCAAGAAAUAUAUAGGGGAACAGAACAAGGAAGACUAAGGGAGGCGGGUUAGCUUCUAAUUUUUGACGAUCUUCUUGGGCAGCAACGUCGACGGCAAUGGUAGCGCAAACGCCGAUAGCAUUUCUUAAGUUGGUCACAUGCUUUUUAGGGGUGGGCGCGGGUCGGGUACCCGUCCCAUUCACCAUUUGGCUGACCCGACCCGUACCUUGCGGGUCAGCCAUUUUUUGACCCUUACCUGCCCCGCAUAUCAGCGAGUACCCUAUAAUCGGGUACCUACUGAGAUAGGGUCGGGUCAAUGGGUACCCGCCCCCGCCCCAUUUAUCAUUUAAUUUUUUAAAAAAAUGAUUUAUACCAAUUUAAUUUUAUAUUUUACACAUUCAUCUAAGAUUUAAGAAAUAUUUUUUUUCUAAAAAAAGAUUUCCUACCAAGAAACAAGCAUUUGAAGAAAAUAUAAGAUAAAGGAAAAAAAUUAAAAGAAUUCAAAAUCAAUAAAAGUUUGAAAUAAGUAGCACAAUUUUUAAUAUAUAUGUUCCACAUUAAUUAAACUUUUUUCUAUAAAAUAUAAGAUCAUGGCCUCUACAAAUGAAUCUUGUAAAUAAACUAUAGUCGCUCAUAUUUGUAAUGCAAUUUGUUUAAUAAAAUUACUUAUUUAGUUCUUAUUAUUUUAUAGUGUGUGUAUAAAAAUAAAAAUAAAAAAAUAUAUAUAUGCGGGGCGGAUUGGGUACUCGCGAGUUUUUAAUUAUGUGACCCUAACCCGCCAAGCAUCUUAGCGGGUACUCGACCCUUUUUUGACCCGAUCAAAUAAUAAAAAUCGAAUAUCCUAAUUUUCGGAUCGGAUCGGAUCGGAUAUGACGGGUUUUCGGGUUAGCGGAUAAUUUUGCCCACCCCUAAUGCUUUUUUCCCUUCAUUUGAGUCACCGUACGAUGUGCAUAAGUUUCUCCAACCGCUUCAAGAUUUAUUGGAUAAGAAAGAAUUUUGGUAUAACAAAAAAAAAUGGAUGAGGAAAAAUUUGGUCUUUUUUCUAUUGCACUAGUUCUUGAAAAGAUGCUUAAGUUUUAGGAGACAAAUAGAAAUAGAGAGGAAGCUAGCUUGGGGGGAAGUGGUAAGGGGGCUGAUGGACAGAGUGGUUGUAAUUUUUUAUGUAACAAAUAGAUAGAUUCACUGAAGGGGUUGCGUCAGGAUUUGAUUAAUUAAUGGAAUUUUUUUUGGUUUAGUGGAGAAUUGCUUUUGUUGUUGAUUUGAAUAUUAUAGUGAUUAAUGGUAUAAAAAAGAAGAAGAAUGAAAAUUGACAGAUGAGGAAGGUGAUGGCAACAUCAAAAUUAAGAGGAACAUGGAAAUGCAAAUGGAAACUGUGACUGCCUCUAACUGAUUCGCUAAUAUGGGUUUUGAUUGUUUAAUUGCAUUAAACAAUAAUUUAAGAAAACAAGAGUAGGAGGGAGGAUUCAUUAAAUUUGUGUUUUGACCGGGGGGAAAGGGCUAGAGUGACAGCUUGGGUUCCAAAUGAAAUAAACAAUGAUGAAUCAUUUUUUUAUUUGUUUGUUAAAUGUUUAGGGUGAAAUUACAUUUAUAUCCUCGUUAUUUUGAUUUUCAACACUAACAAAACCGCACUACAGGUGCGUAUUUCUCAUGCCCUAAGAACACUAACGGUUCAUCAACGAUUUUACUUAAUUGGGAUGGAUCUUGUAGUUUAGGGACUUAAGUGUCCCAUUUUAAAGUUUAGGUACUGAAGUGAGAUUUCACAUAUAGUUUGAGGGGACAAGUGGAAUUAACCCAUAAUUUAACGUACCAUAAAUAAUAUAGCAUCAACUGUAAAUGUCUAAUAUAGCAAAGUAAAAAAUAUUGUCAUUGUUUAAAGCUACAAAUCACAGAUGAACGGUACAAAUCAUAAUCAUCCAUCGUGCCCCUUGCCCCUAUUGCGUGUGGUAAUAAAACAAUCGCAUCUCCAAUGCACUCUCUGGUGUGGCAAAUCGUGUUGCAGCUGUAGCCAUUCAGACCUCCUAUAUAGUGUCUCAGGCAUUUGUUUAUCCUUAUCAUCGUCGGAGGGGUCCACCACAGGAGUCUAACCGCAUCUCUAAUAGGAAAGAUUUAUAGAUGUGGUGGAAGGGCCUUGAUGAGAAGCGGUGUCUGAGUUUGUCUGAAAAACUAGUGAAAAAACCCAUCGAGGAUCCUAAGAAAUCAUAGAUACUAUUAAGGUUUUCACCGAACUCAUUAUUCAUCCCAAAUGACCUAUGUGGCCUAAUAGAAAAGGAGCCAACACCUGCUGUAAAGUCGAAUCCAGUUAAGGGAGUAGGUGUCAUAUAAAAAUGGCCUCUGAAAGCAAGAACUGAUACAGAAUCUUGUUAGCUUUGAAGCUUGUCAAAGUCGUUUGCAUCAAGAAUGGUCAUCAAGUUGUGUUUUAGUGGAUGAUUGAAUUAUUAAUUGUAGUAGUCGUUUAUGCUAUCCAAUUUUCCGGCCAAUUGGUUGAGGUUGGUUCGAGUAAUGUUAGUUGGUUUCAUAUUAAGUUGAGUCGUUACUUUUAGAAGAAUAAAAGGUUAAGGUCAUGUUGACCAUUGUAAGGAUUAGUUACUUGUAGGUAGUUAAGGAUUAGUUAAAUGAGUUCUAGUAUGGUUAGGAGUAUUGAGUCUUGUAAAGACUAUAAAAAGCCUUAGUUUUAUGUUUGUCAUAUGUUGAAUAAAUUUGAAAAAUUUUCCAAAAAUUCUUCCUUGUGUGAGAGAGCUUCUUUUAGCUUAUGAAAGCUGCCAGUGAACAUCUUAGAAUAGGCCUAAGGUGAUUCGUCAACUUAUCAAUCAAGUAUUCACCUUGAUUGUGGCGUUGUUCUACCAUUUUGUUCUUUCUUGAGCAGUCCAAAAUCGAUCAUAAACAUCCAACCCCAAAUGUUGAUCCUUAAUCUAGGUCCAAGCUUGUGGUUCACGCUCUUGAUUCAUCUUGGCAUAUCGAGAAUCGUAUCAGUUGAUAUCAAGAGCUAGGUUAAAGGUAUCAUCGCUAUAUCCUUUUUUGUUUUGUUUAGUUUCUAGGAUUUCAUUUGUCUCAACCUUGCUGUCCAAAUUGUGCAGUCCAAUUCGUGACUUAUCUUGGUGUUUUCCUUCAUCAAUUGUGUCUUGUUUUGUGUAUUUUCUCUUUGUUGAUUCUUGUUUUGUGCGUUAGCAAACCAGUCUGAAAUUGUCCUUGUUGAAACGCUAGGGUUUCUUGAGCCUCCAUAGCUGUCCACAUUUGUUCAUUGCUGUCCAUUGUUGUUCCUUGGUCCAAAUUGUGUUUGAGUCUUGAUUUUGUGUCCUGUUGUCUUGUUCUUCAAGUCUUGUGUCACUUAGCGUCCAAAAAACAAAAAAACAAUUCUGUUCCUUGAGUUUAUUGUGAGAAUCCGUGGCUGCCCUUGUCCUUGUUGCAAGUCCGUGGCUGUUUUCCUUGAUUUCUUGAAAAGCUUUAUAGUUCUUGAAAUUUCUGGGCAAAAGUAUUGAAUUUCUUGAAGUUUCUUGAACAAAUUCUUGAAAAUCUUGAAGUUCUUGGGUUGCAUAAUAGGGUUUCUUGAAAAUCUUGAACCAAAGUUUCCAAAUCUUGAAGUACUUGGAAAUCCUAGUUCAUAUUUUUGAGUUUAUGAAUAGAGGCUGCCUUUGUUUCUUGAUUGGGUGAACCGAAGUGAAAAAAAAGAGAGACAAAAUUCUGAAUUUGAUCCGUGGGAAAAAAAAAAGAACAAGUCUUAAUCAGAUCAUUAGCAUUGAGUUUAGAAACAAGAAGCCAAAUUGGAAUUGGCAACUGAAAUCAACUUGGACUCUUGUUUCCAAAAGUUGGACAAAGAAUCUUUAUUGGUUUUGGUUUACUUUUUCCAGCUAUAAAAUCUGAACAUACACUUAGGAAACUACCUAAAUAGCAUCUCGUUUCCUAUAUUUGAAUCCAAGAACCAUCCAGAUUAGAUUCCAAUUUCCAGCCAAGCUACAAUCAGGUAGAGUGCCUAUUUCUAGGAUCCAGAAAUUUUGCCAACUUGUUCCUUAUUCCAACUGAAUAAACUAAAUUGUCCAGCAUUGUAUAGUUCUAUCUUGAGUUAUUUUUUCAGUUUAUAUUCAAGUUUUAGUAGUCAAAAACAAGUCCAAAUCGGUCUUGGACUAUAAGAGUCAAGAGUUUCUUAAUUCUAGUUGUCUUGUCCAAGUCCAUUACUUUCUAGAUUUUUUUGUAAUUUUGUCCAAGUCAAAUUUGGUUUUGUAGGGUAGAUUUCCAGCAAUAAUUAAAGUGUCCAAGUGUGUCCAAUUCUUGGUCCAAAAUCUGCCAAAAUUCAACACCAAACCUGUUUGAUUUUUGCCUAUAAUCGUCUAGAGUUUCUUUAGUCUUGUUAGGGUUCAUCUUUGCACCAAUAAAUUUACAAAUUUCCAGCUUUGUUAUGUACCGUUUUUCCAGCAUUCUUGAGGUCUAAUUUCUGUAAAUUUCCAGCACCUUUGUUUGUGUUUAAUCCUUGCUUUUGCUUGUUAAAUCUGUCCGUGCUACAAGCAAGUGCAUAUUACUUGAUAAGUGGAGUUUCAUCUCAAGCAUAGCUCUAAUUUAUUCAAGGCAAGCAAGUAACAUCCAUUAGAGCUUGAUUGUGAGUUCAUUGGAGUGUUGAGUGCAAACACGUAAGGGAGUGUGUGAGGCAACAUACACUUGUUUCUUGCUUACUCUUUUUAUAGGUUACCUUAACAUGUCAAAUGGAGAGGAAUCAUGCAUUGCUGACUCUAAACUUGCCAUGGAGGGUAUGAUGAGUGAAUUCCAACGUAAGAUGAGAUUGGAAUUUGACUCCUUACAUGAAUGGAUGGAUUGUCUUGAAAAUUUCCAAAACCGAAGUGGAACAAGCCAAGGAAGGAGUAAUAGAGUAGAAAAUGGAGCUUCUAAUGACGAAUAUGAGGAGGAUGAAGGUCGAACAAGGGCUGUCCGAAACAUCAAUAAUAGAGGUGAUGAUGAAAUCAAGGGAAUCAAGCUGAAAAUUCCAUCUUUCCAAAGAAAAUCUGACCCUGAAGCUUAUUUGGAAUGGAAGAGGAAGAUUGAGAUGAUAUUUGAAUGCAAUAGUUACACGGAUGAGCAAAAAGUAAAACUUGCAGCCGUGGAGUUCAUUGACUAUACAUCGGUAUGGUAGGAUCAACUAUACCUUAGUCGUAGAAGGAAUCGUGAGCAAGGUGGGAAGACUUGAGAGGAGUUGCGAGAAUUGAUGCGAAAGAGAUUGUGCCUAACUAUUAUCAUCGAGACUUGCAUAAUAGGUUACAAACUCUUACUCAAGGCAAUAUGUCCGUGGAAGAUUAUUGCAAGAAGAUGGAGAUGGCUAUGAUGAGGGUCGACAUGCAAUAAGAUCUAGAAGCUACAAUGUCUAGGUUUUUAAAUGGUCAGAAAUAGUUGAGCUCCAAUACUAUCUAGGUAUGAAUGAGUUGUUGGAUAAAGCGGUGAAGGUGGAAAGGCGCCUCAAGAGGAGGGGUAACACUCGCCCUAAUUCUAACUAUCAAACUGAAAAUUGAUGAAAUUUUUCUUCAAGACAAGAAGAUAAGUAUAUGGAACCUUCUGAACCACCAAAAUCGAGGCCAAUGAAAGCUAAACCCGCAACUAAAAUUGAGGUUGAGAUUGGCACACGCACUCCAAAACCUCGAAGUAGGGAUGCUAAAUGUUUCAAGUGUCAAGGAUUUGGAUACAUAGCAUCUCAAUAUCCCAACCAAAGGACCAUGCUCAUCCUACCUAAUGGAGAAGUUGUGUCGGAUAAUGAGAACGAUUGUGAAGGUAUGCCACCUUUAGUGGAGGAAAGUGACAACUCGGAAGAAAAAUUGCCUUUUGAAGGGAACGUUGGAGUCUUAGUUGUAAGAAAAGUGCUUGUAGCCCGAGUUUUAAAGGAUGAAGAUAUACAAUGGAACAACUUAUUCUACACUCGUUAUCAUAUCAAGGACAAGUUGUGUGGUCUAAUAAUUGAUGGUGGAAGUUGCACAAAUAUGGCGAGUUUGUUCAUGAUUGAGAAAUUGGCUCGUCCAACUACCAAGCACCCUAAGUCAUAUCGACUCCAAUGGCUAAAUAAUGAUGAUGAUGAACGAGUAUAUAGGCAAGUGCAGGUACUAUUCUGCAUUGGUAAGUAUGAAGUCGAAGUGGUAUGUGACGUGGUACCAAUGCAAGCAAGCCAUUUGAUCUUAAGUCAUCCUUGGCAAUUCGAUAAAGCUGUUCACUUCAACGAACGAGCUAAUAAGUAUUCCUUCAUGCAUGGUGAUAGAAAGGUUACUCUUGUUCCCCUUACCCCUAGACCGGUUCAAGAGGAUCAAGUAAGAUUACAUGAGAAAUAUGAGUUAGGUAUGAGUUGAGCAAAAAGAAAAAGAGUGAGACCGAGAGUGGUAAUGAGAGAAAGGCAUUAGUUAGUUCGGCCAAAGGGGUGUAUAAAGAUAGGAAACAUAGUUUGUUAGUACAAGUUGAGCAUGAUGAGGUUUUUUCUUAUAACUUUACUAACUUGUUUGCUAUUAGUUUUUCUUCCUUUUUGCAGGUUAAGUGAGAGGACAUGGAAUUGCAUGAUUGCUAUCCAAUUUCAACCAACCUUGCUACCAUUCCUUUUUGUGAAAAUAUCAACGAUACAAUUUCAGAAAUUUAUAUCUUAUUGCCUUCGUUCUUCCUUCUUAUCAUGUCUUGUUAGGAUCCAAACACAGAACAAAUAACUAUUGAAAUAUCCAGUACACAACAAUUUAAUGACAAACAAGUCACAAGUAUAAAAGAUAAACAACACACAAUAUUUAACGUGAUUCAGCUCCACCACUAAGCCUACGUCCACGGAGAGAAAAUUCGUUCUUUAUUAUGAGAGGAAAACCCUAUACCAAAAUACAACUUGAACCCAAACCCGACCCUUGUAUAUUAUCUCUUAUCUCCCAAGAACCCUCUCUCACUACCCCAUGUAUAAGGCUACAUGUCGCCCUUGUGUGUCUCUUUGUAGUAUGCCAACCUACCUAUUUAUAAAUAACAUUAUUUGGCCAAUAACCCAAAUAACAACAGGAAACCAAUUCUAAUUCCUAAACUUGUACAGAAUAGAAAAUAACUUCUAAUCGUAAAUAAAAUAGAAAAUUUCUUGACUAUCACUUCAAGUAAAUAAAACCAAUUAGGAAACUAGUUACUUCCACACAAAACAAGAAACCUACCUAAAAGAAAUUAAGCCAAUUUUCUAACAAAUCUUCACUUUGGCAAAAAUUUCUUUUAGCAACCAUUUGCUUUCAACUACUAAAUAAUAUGAUACCGAACUACACACCCGAAUUAACACAGUCCUGACACCAAAUUGAUUCAAUCGACAAAUGAAUAUGUGUAAUUACCCCGAGUCCAACCUCCAGUUGACUCAUGAGAAGGUGCAUCAAUUCAUCGUCUCCCUUUGCAGGAUUUCUUCUCACAAUCACUUGCAACUUGGGAUCCCUUUCUGUGAACUCUAACCCUAAACAUUGAGGCAACCAAGUGGUAAAAUCACCAUAGUUCUUUUCAUCUUCAGGACUAUCUCGCCAUGUGUGGUUUCUAAGACUCCACCUAAAACGAAAAACUCGUAACUAUCAGAGUCUUCUGGUGUAUGAAAUUUAUAUCUCUUUGUUUCUUUGGGACAUAUGCCACACCACUCAAAAAAUAUAAUUGAAAUCUAAAAGUCACCGGGAUAAAAUAUCAACUGUUAGAGGUGUGAGAAAGUCUCCACCGAUUCACGUCCAAAAUCAACAUUGGACUCCACUUUUUUCUUGACUCUUGAAUCUUCUGCCUAAAUUCACCAUCAAAUAUCUUUAUGUUUUUCGGCUUCCCAUCCUUCAUCAUCAAUGCUGUUUGCCAAGCCAUUGAAACAGGGAUUCCACUCAUUAAAUUGUUCAAUUGGUAACAACCACCAACCUACUUGAUCUCAAUAGUUAACCAAGAUCCAACCAUGAACAACCAAACUAUUGAUCCAACCAUUCAAUUUGUUGGGAUCCAAAUGCUUGUGAGCAGCCCAAUCUCACAACCAAGUUCUGAUACCACUUAUUAGGAUUCAAGCGCGGAACAAACAACUAUUGAGAUAUCAAAUACACAAUAAUUUAAUGACAGAGCAUGAAAGAUAAACAACACACAAUAUUUAAUGUGAUUCGGUUCCACCAUUGAGUUUACAUCCACAGAGAAAAAAUUCGUUCUUUACUAUGAGAAAAAAACCCUAUACAAGAAUAUAACUUAAUCCAAAUCCAACCCUUGUAUACCAUCUCUCAUCUCCCAAUGAGUCUCUUUCACUACUCCAUGUAUAAGGCUACAUGUCACUCUUGUGUGCCAUUGUGUGUUUGUUUGUAGUAUGCUAACCCACCUAUGAGAAUAUUAUUUGGCCAGUAACCCAAAUAACAACAAGAAAUCAAUUCUAAUUCCUGUACUUGUACAGAAUAGGAAAUAACUUCUAAUUCUAAAUAAAAUAGAAAAUUCCUUAGCUACUAUUUCAAAUAAUUAAAACUAAUUAGGAAACUAGUUAUUUCCACACAAAACAAGAAACCUACCUAAAAGAAAUUAAACUAACUUUCUAACAUGUCUAUAUUUCUUUUACACAUUUGUCUCAUUUUUGUGAGCUGUCUACUAACCUUUGUUAUCUCAUUUUCGUAGACAUUGGGGCUAAUUGUGUACCAAGAAUUCGUUUAAAGAGUGUGUUCCUCAAUGAGCAUUACAACUACUAUUUUCUACUUGUAGAUAGUCCAAGUGAAGUUUCAACAUCACCAAAUCAGAUUUUGCACUUUGCCAGCUUCAAUGAGGUGGAAGGGCCAGUUUCAUAGAAGAUGCUACGUACCAAUUUGAAAAUCCAUAUCUUAUUGAUACACAAGCAUUGAAGCCGAUCCGUGAGCUUCAAGGUGAUGCAAUCGAUCAUUUUUAGCAUUGCACAUGGUGGUCCUUGUGUUGGAUGCAAUUCUUAAUUGUCUUCAUCAUCUCGACGGCAUGUAACUCUUCUUGUGUCUCUUUAUGCAUCGAUUUGUAGUCUAAUCACUUUCAAUAGGAGGGGAAUGAUACAAAAUCUUGUUAGCUUUGAAACUUAUCAAAGUUGUUUGCUUCAAGAAUGGUCAUCAAGUUGUAUUUUAGUGGAUGAUUGAGUUAUUAGAUGUAGAAGUUGUUUAUUUUAUCCAAUUUUCUAGCCAAUUGGUUGAGAUUGGUCGAGUAAUGUUAGUUGGUUUCAUAUUUAAUUGAGUCGUUACUUUUAGAAGAAUAAAAGACUAAGGUCAUGUUGACCAUAGUAAGGAUUAGUUACUUCUAGGUAGUUAAGGAUUCGUUAAGUGAAUUCUAGUAUGGUUAGGUGUAUUAAGUCUUGUAAAAGUUAUAAAAAGCCUUAGUUUUACGUUUGUCAUACGUUGAAUAAAUUUGAGAAAAUUUUCAAAAAGUCUUCCUUGUGUGAGAGAGUUUCUUUUGACUUGUGAAAGCCGCCAUUAAACAUCUUAGAAUAGGUCUAAGAUGAUGCGUCAACAUAUCAAUUAAGUAUUCACCUUAAUUGUAGUUUUGUUUUACCAUUUUGGCCUUUCUUAAGCGGUCCAAGAUCGAUCAUAAACAUCCAUCCCCAAACGUUGAUCCUUAAUCUAGGUCCAAACUUGUGGUUCACAUUCUUGAUUCACCUUGGCAUAUUGAGAAUUAUAUCAGGAACACAUGGAGGUGUGGAGAAUGCUCUAGAAUAGAAAAAUUAAAUGAUAACUAUAAAGUUGUAUCUGACAUGUGAUGAAGCAUGAGGAUGUUGUCUAACAGGAACAUCAUCAUCACGUAAUGAGGUGACCCUCCAACAAAACCUGCCUCCCUGAUUCUUACCAUGCACCAGGCUAGGUGGAUGCUCAACAGGCAUCUCGAAAGGUGCAACUUGAGAGAUCGAUAGACCAACAUCCUGAUGAUCAAAGGAUCCAAUGCAAUCCGAAUUCCCUGAUUCAAUUAUUGUAACUUUCCGAAUGUCUCUUCCCGUAUCAAAGAGAGCCUGGGAUGAGCACACUGGGCAGGGUUUAUCGGAGCAAAGUAUCUAUUGCAAAUGGAUCCGAUUUGAAAUAUGGUAUCAAUCUGUUGAAAGUAGAAAUUGUUUAUUGUAGUUAUUACAUAUGUUAUUUAAGAAAAAAUAAAUACGUGCUAAGAAGUAAAGCUAAAAAGGUAAUUAUUUACCAAGUAAUCGAAUCGUCUCCUAUCUCCUUGAUGACCAUCACGUUGGGGCAAUUGCAAAAUAGGAAGUGAUAUGUAGCGGAUUGUCCAAUUAUGGUACUAUGUCAUGUAGCCAUCCAUAAAUCUGUUGGGAUCAGGAUGAUAGCCUCGAACAUAUGCUUUAGCACGACACUCCCAAUAUUCAAUCCAAUGACUAGGCUACCGAGUUCAAUCCUUUCUGACCUGUUCUGAUCAACAUAGAGAAUGCAAUUUUUUAUCACCAUUUGUGUCAACUCUAACUGAUAUGGGCAAAUGCAUCCCAAACUAUUUUAGUGCCUAAUUUGAAAGGUGAAAUUCAAUUACUUCUCAAUGUAUCAGUAGAAUGACUGAAGCCAUAUAUAUUGUCUAGCCGAGCAAUAGACGGAAAGAUGUGGAAUAAACUCGUCAGGACAAGACUCCCAAAUGACCUAUUACCAUUUAAAAAUGUAUAGUUAGUCGCGAUAGUAAUUACAAACAUAGUCAAGAAUAGAAACAGUUACCAUUUGCAACACCUCGUCGACGUCCAUAACUGUAAGCUGAUCACGAAAUGCAGAUACAACAUGCGAGGGCACGUGCUUGGUUGUACGGCUCCUAGCACAUUAACCGCCUCUCGAAAAGUCAUUUUGUUGUGCGGUAGGAUCCAACACGGUUGGUCGAAUCUUGGGAAUCCUCUUCCAUACCCAUAACUAGUAAUAAUGAAAAAUUUUGCCAAAUUAUAAUAUUUACAGAAAGUAGUGAAAUAAAUAUACUCACACAUUCAAAUGGUGUAUAUAUGCUCACUUGUAGAAAUAUGUACGAUCCAGCAGUACAGCUCAUUACUGCCUGAGAUACUUUGCACAUACGAAAAUGUAAAAAUGCAAGCGUUGCACUGUCCCAACUAUAUCGCUCAUACCCUUAAUGUCUAAAAUAAAAUCUAACCAAUGACAGUUGACAAGGUUGCCGCAUGUGUCAGCAAACAACUAUCCCCUAAAUAAAAUCAAAAUGUAGCACCGAACAUCAUAGUUAUUAAACUCGGCCUGGCCCGGCGGUCGGACCGGUCAACCUGGUGAACCGGUCAUUGGACCAGGCCGGGUUUUCAUUUAGAUCAUUUAAGCAUAAGAACUGUUGACUGGUCAAUGAUCCGACAGUUCAACCGGAUUAAACUGGAAAUCCGGCCGAUUUUUUCGAUUUUGUCCACAAACUAGAUUUUGGAGAAAAAAUUUUAGAUUGCUUUAGGUAGGAUUCAAACUUGGACUAAAGCAUAUCACCAGAGCAUCGUUACCACCAAGCCACUUAUAAGAUGUUAGUAAAGUAACUUUCUUAUAAUAUAUGAAUGUUUUAUCAAUUCUAUCUUUAUUUUUUUAUUUCUCUAAAACAAAUUUAUUUGGAAUAUUUUAAUAAAAACAUAUGACCCCCAAACUCUAUAAGUUAUAAAAUGGAUUUCAAAAAUAACAUAUUACAUAAAUUAUUUUAAAGAUAAUAUAUUGUUUUUAAUAAUUUUUUGCACUUAAAAUUCGUAAAUAAGCUAGAUAAUUAUACUAAAUAUAGAUAAAAUUUUACACUUAAAGUUUAGUUGAUUACUAAAUAAAUUUAUAUUUUAUUGAUUCUUAUAUGAAUUAAUUAUUCUAUAGUGAAUUAAAUUAAAUGAACAUUUGCUAUGGUAUUAUUUAUUACAAUUUAUAUCAUAUAUCUUAUAUCAAAAAUUAUGCAAACAUAAUAUUUAAAUAUAUUUAGUGACCCACCAGUUCAACCACUCAUCCACUGGUUGAACCAGUGACCUAUUGACCCACUUCUUUCACGGAGUUCCUUCCCGAGCCGGGUUUAAUAACUAUGCCGAACAUAUUGAUGAACUAAUUCUUCAAAUGCAUUAUCUGAAAGAGACUCAUAUAAAAACUCUAAUAUUGGUAUAAAUUUCAACCUACCAUCCUUAAAGUGGCGAUCAAGUCCUAAAAGUUCUUCGAUCAAGUAUUUUUUCUAAACAACAGACUAAUUUUGAUCGACAAGUGUGAAUGAUAAUUCAUCUACACAUAGACCCCAUAAUACCUCCAUAUCAUGUAAAGUGAUAGUAGUUUCAUCGAUAGAAAGAUGAAAAGUGUGGAUCUUCUGCCUCCAUCGCCUUGCAAUCCAUACAUAGUGAUUUUUUUCGACCACGAUGUACAGUUCGAUAUUAAACAAGUCAACAAUUUUUUUUCGGAUCUAGUACACAAUGACCUAAAUUUACAAAUAGCACAUUAUCUAAGACAGUCAGAUUUUUGGGUAUAGUACAGGCAGGUCAUUUUGACCUUGAUCAUGGCCUAAUCACAGCGCUUAUUGUGUGGGCCCUAGAUGGAGUCGAUCGUACUCCUGGACCAAUGAUCCAUAUCUACAAAAGUCUGUAAAUAAUAAAAAAUUACAAUAUAAGCUUAUAAUUAAUUACAUUUGUAAAAAAAAUGUUGGUAAAUUCAAUGCACAGAUAGAAGUAAAAUACAAUCCAAAUAUUUUUUAUCGCUUGAUGUAAAACAAAUAACAUUACAAUAAAUAGAUAACCACAAUAAUAACAUUAUAAAUGAUCUAUAAAUCCUCAACUACUUAUUAAAUGGCUCGAGUAAGGGCAAUUGCAGGCGUUGUGUCUCGUCUAUGAACAAUGGCUGCAGCGAUGAGAUGUAUCCGAUCAUUGACGAUCCAUUUGGUUAUGUAUUCUGCCUAUGGCCUUAGAGCCCGGUUGCUUUUGCUUAACCUUGAUAGAAUUGUAAUUAAGUUAUAACUCCGUAGUGAUCUAGUAAAUUGUGUCCCACAAAGAAAAAAAUUACCCUUACAGAGAUGCCUACCAUACUGAAAAUGUGUGUGUGGAAUCAAUUAGAUAGUAUGAAUUUGUUCCCGAUCGAUAACAAGACGCAAUAACAUGCAAACAUGGGAAUCGAAAUUCUAUUCACUUGUCACAUGUACAUGUCCCAUUUCCAAAGUGAACAAUCUGUGUAUUACCCCCUUUUCAUUAUAGCAUCGGCCCAUUGUUAUGUAGUAUAUUCCGUUUCAAUGAUGAUAGAUAUGCAUUGAGUAUAUCUUUGAUUUAGCUCAUUUGUUACGAAAAUUUUUCAUAUUUUCUUGGGAAGAGGGUAUAUCGUACUGAAGGCUUUCUUCCGUUUCUUUGUGAAAAGAUCAACGGUUUAGUUGAAAGUGAAUUGUACACAAAUGAUAGGAGUUGAGCCUGUGCAAUAAUAAUUACUUACUCAAGAAAAAUAUAAAUUUUAUAUAUAGCGAUGAGUAGGGUCGAAUCUUCAGGGACUGGAAAUAAUUUAUUUCUUUUAGAGUCCACAGAUGGGGGGGGGUCUAUAAAAAUAACUAAUUAAUUAAAUAAAAGCAACUCACGAAAAUAAAUAGGAAUUAAUCAACAAUAGAUAUGACUAUUGCCGAAGGUGCAACUUUUCAGACACGGUCCAUUCAACUGAUCAUCGAUACAAAGAUAAUUCAAUUACUCAUUAAUAGAUUGGUUAUAGUUGUCAUACACAGGAUAAACAACCAACUUUUUCUUACUUUUUCGAUAGCCAAGGUAUGACCGUUAACUAUUUUCCUAACUAAAAAAUAACACUAGGUACGAUCGUAAGAUUCAAUUCCUGAAUUGCAUUAAGAAUUAGAAAAACCCAACCCUAACCAACAAACACGUUACAAGGAUUUGUUUAAAUUAGAUCAUAUGUGUCCCUAACAUGGGACCAAUCAUGCUAGUCGCCACUGGUAUUAACCAAUCAAAUAAUUACGGAUUUAACCGGUUAAUUUAAUAGUAGAUUAUUAGGUUACUUUAAAUAUCGGGCCCGCGAUAUUCAAAUAACACAACAAUCAUAAGAAGUUAAACCAGAAAUGUACAAAUACUAAUAAAUAAAAGAAAUAAGUAAAAUAAUUCGAUCUCACAAAUAUUUGGCACUGCGUCUUCAAGUUGACCUUUGACUAGGGGUGUGCAUUCGGUGCAAAAUCAGUAAUUCGGUGCACUGAAUUCGGUGAAUUCGGUUAUUCUACCUAUAGAAAUCUAAACCGUUUUCAAUUCCGAAUUAGCCAUAACCGAAUUCAUACCGCAACCGAUUUCAAAUUCGAAAACGGUAAUGAAUUCGGUUAAACCGAAUUCAUCUAUUAAAAAAGAGUAAUAAUUUAUCUAUUAAUUUAAACAAGAAUAAACCUUAGACUAUACAAUGAUUGGUGAUAAUUUAUGAAUUUAUAAUUUACAAUGAUUACUAAUAAGUAAUAUUAGUUAGUAGUUACAAUGAAUUUAUAAUUUACAGUGAUUAAUAAUAAAUAAUAUUAGUUACAAACUUACAAAUUACAAUAAUUAGUGAUAAGUUAUAUAAGUUACAAACUUAAAAUUUAUUUCAAAUCAAAAUAAAAAACUUAUUUACUUACACAUGUUAUUGUGAAAGUCAAUACACUAAUACAUUGAUUUGCAAUUCACAUGCAUUCACUUACACUGCUUAGUUGUCUUGUCUAUACUUAAAAUCUUGAGAUUAGUAAAUAGAUAAUAUGAAUUUUAACUUAUUUGAUAACUUAUACCUAGAAUCCUUAGUCUAUGAUUUAAGGAACACAAUGAUUAGUGAUAAUUUAUGAAUUCAUAAUUUACAAUGAUUAAUAAUAAGUAAUAUUAGUUACAAACUUACAAAUUACAAUGAUUAGUGAUAAGUUAUAUUAGUUACAAACUUAUAAUUUAUUUCAAAUCAAAAUAAAACUUAUUUACUUACAUAUGUUAUUGUGAAAGUCAAUACACUAAUACAUUGAUUUGCAAUUCAUAUGCAUUCACUUACACUGCUAACUGCUUAGUUGUCUUAUCUAUACUUAAACGCUAAAGCCUUAAGAAUUAAGAUUAGUGAAUAGAUAAUAUGAAUUUUUAUGUUAAAUAUGUAGAGUACACUAAUACUUGCAAGUUAUAGAUUACGCAUUCAAAUAUUUAAUAAUUCAAACAUGAAUGAUAUAUCAAAUUACCAAUAUCUAAAUUCUAAUUAUGAAUUAUGUUUAUUGUUUAAUAUUUAGUAUUAUACAUAUAUGUAUUAAUUAUUAUCUAAUUCUAGUCAUGUUACUCAUGUAUAAAAUAAUAAGUAUUAUAGUUAUCUUAUAUUGUUAUGUAUUACUAUAUAUUUGUAUUAUUAUAGUCAUAUAACAAUUAACAAAUACUAAAAGAAUAUAUUGUACAUUAUUAUAUAUUAUUAUUAUUAUUAUAAGUACAUGAUAUGAUAAUAAUACCAUAUACUAAUUAUUAUUAAUAGCAUUUACUUAUAUAAUAUAAUAAAGUAUUAGUAGUAUAUACUAAUACUAAAUAGCAUUUAUCUAUAUAUUAUAUAAUUUUAUAUAUCAAUUUGGUAAUUCGAAUGUGGUAAUGCGGUACCCGAUUUCAAUUACCGAAUUUGAAUGCGAAAUCGGUUAUUACCAAAUUCAUAAUCUCAUUACCUAUUUCAUACCAUAUUAGAAUUCGAUGAAUUCGGCAUGUACCGAAUUUGUACCAAAUUACCAAAUACCCGAUUUCAAAUUACCGAAUUGAAUUUGAAAUCGGUUAUGAAUUCGGUAAGAACCGAAUUUGCUCACCCCUACCUUUGACUAAAAAAAGAGAUUUAGCUACUCAUCAUUGAGAAUAAACCAUGAAUUCUCUUGAAACAAUUCGCACGAGUAUUUGACAAUAGGAAAUAAUGAAAGAAAGAAAAUGAAGAGACUAGCUAAGCAGCCGUCCUUCCUCUUUGCAAAGCAAAGAGUCCAUCAAUCGUACUCCUGGUCGAAGUAUUAAUCAAGCGGAAUUCCCGCCUUUUCUCUCCUUUUUUGUUGCUAGUUAUAAAUCUCUUCCAAAGAAAUUGAGUCCUACUCACUUUAGGAAAAGUAUAUAAUACUUUCCUAACUAAAUAUCGGUACUAAUAAUGAUUGGACUCUGCCAAUCUCAACUAAUUGCCCAAUUAGAAGUUGGAUUCGGAUAGGAAACUUUCUUUGUCAUUUGGAAUCCCAUGUUUUCGGACUUGAUAGCAUAUCUCGACCGCAUCCAUGUCAAACUAGUCUAUAAUUUUCUGAGAAAUCACCCUUUUAACCACUUUUUGUUUCACUUCCCUACAAUUAGUACCAUUAACCAAAUAUAAGUAAAAUCUAUCAAUUAAUACAAUAUUUGGCUAAAAUCAAGGAAAAAAUAAUUAUAAAUUUAGCAAAAAAUUACAACCUAUCAAUUUUUCUCACACCUAAAUCAUGCUUGUCCUCAAACAAGAGAAACAACAAAUCAAACAAUCAAGUUCAAAUAAUGGCUAUUAUUCAAAUCAUCUAUUGUCAAUAUACAAUUAAAACACAUGUCAAGUAUUAGUGGCUAGUCCCCUAGAAAUAUCUCUCCAAUUGGUUUUUAAAAUCAAAAGACUUUUCCAAUUCUUAACUAACUAAUCUAAAAAUAUAAAAUAUUCAACCAGCAUUUUUCAGCAAACGGUUCAACUGUUAAGCAAAAUCCCAACAUUAAUCUUCAUGAAUCAGCAGGCUAACACAAUUAUUCACACACUUGCACAUUUUUCACUACUAGCUCAUCCCUCCCCUUUUUUAAAUAUCUCCAUAUUUGAUCUCUCAUUUUUCUUUUUUUUUUUUAAAGAAAAAAGGCUUAGUCCUUAGCCAUUCAAACCUUUUGACACGAACUCUAUCAUCUACCAAAUGAAGAAACCCGGUUACUCUAUUUUUAUUGCUAAAAGACUACAUACUUAUAAUUAUCGUCACUUUUUGACGCGAAAGUCGACACUUGUGGUGAAAACCUCCGAUUACUAGGUAACGAUACUAGUGGAGUAUAACUGAAUACUAUUCAUAAAUAAGCACCAAAUUAAAAUUAAAAAUCACACAAACCCGCUUCAUUUCUUAAACAUGGAGAAUUAAAAUUAAUAGUUGAACCAAUUUGCACAAAAAAUGCUAGACAAAUAUUUACAAUACUUAGAGAAGUUAACCAAAAAGUGCAAAAGUCACAAAAUCUCAAAUAUUUACCAAAGAGAUACCCUUAAACUUAAUCUUGUCAUGCUUGAUCCAUUAGCAUAUAUGUGACGCCCGAAAGAAGAAGAAAAGGAAAUUUCUGAUGAACAGUGAGAAUCCGGCCGAAAAUCCGGCCAGUUCUUGGCCGGAUUGGCUUGGGGUUUUGAAAAAAAUGGAUUUCGCCACUGCCCCAAAUCCGGCCGGAUUGUGACGUGGCACCUCAGCAGCCAGGUUUGAUCGGCUGUUUUCCAACGUUCUUAUCUUGUUUCUUGGCUGAUAUUUCCUUCAUUUCUUUCCUUGGCUUGGCCGAACUCCUUGAGGGGAAAAGAGAGAAAGUAAGCUUCAACUUCAUUCUCCAUUCUUGCUUCAAAUCUUGAGAUUUCACCGAUGGUCUUGCAAAAUACUCCAUAGCAGUUGUUGUCUAAGGAAGUUGGAAGGAGUUGGUGGAGUGAUUUUGGAAAGGCAACCUCUAAGCUACCAUUUUCUUGAGGUUUCAAGGUAAUCUUUGCUAGAAAUCCUUCUCUACUAGUAAUACUAGCAUAUUUGUGAUUUAGAGUUGUAAAUAGGUAGCUUUAUGAGAAUAUUUCAGGGGUUGAAGUAGUUCUAUGGUGAAUUUCAGUUUUAUGAUGAAAUUUUUGCUCUCAUGUGAUGUUUUGAGGAUUGUCCAUGUUUUGAUAGUUUUAUUAUGAGAAAUAUUGAAGGUUGAUAGGCUAGUAUAUUUUGCCUAAAGAGAUUCCAGCUUUUGUGCAUCAAUUUUAGUUCUAGGGUUUCGAAUUUGGGGCUUAAAUGUGAUUGGUUUUGGAGCUAUCAAUUGGCUCAAAUUGAAGGGGUAUUAUGGCCUAAUUAGAUGUGUGGUAUAUCUUAUGAUUCGUAUGUGUAAUUGUGGUUAUAUGCAAAGGUUAGUUUAGAAGAGUAAUUUCAGUUUUUGCCUUGUUUCUGGCCUCAACUUGGACUGCACAAUUCUCCAUGUUUUAGACCGAACCAGCUUUUGGACAAAACAUGAAAGUUGUAGAUAUAUGAGUUAGCUAUCUACCUGAAAACUUUCAGAUCGAUUGGAGUACUGUAGCUUGUGAAAUGACCAAAAUACCCUUGACUGCCAUUAAACCCUGUUUCGCGGACAAUUUCCAUUUUUCUCUAAGAUUUCAAUUUUUUGACCAUGAAAAUGUAUGAUUUGGCUUUGGAGGUCUUCAUAAGAAAUGUUGGUUUAUGUCUUGGCUUCGAAACGCCUUAAGAUUUGUUUCAAUCCGAUAAGUGUAGCUUCAAUUGUGAUUAAAAUGCCAAAAGGUGAUAGGAACUUGAUGCUUUUAGAAUUCCUUUUGUUUGACAUGAUAUUUGUGAUCUAGGGUUUGGACUUGAGCAAGGCAAUGAGUUAUGGUGGAUGAGAUUCAUGAGCUGUGGUUGGUGAGUGAUUCCACAACUAUUUGCAAAGUUUCUUUUCGAACUAUUUAUUGCAUUACAUACUCGAUUGCAUAUCAUGCGUGCUUGUGUGUGUGCCAUGAAAUUUUGGCUCCAAUGAGUUCUUAGGAAGUCUUGUGCUUAAAACCAACGUCUCCAUUACUGUUUACCUGGAGCACAAUGGCUCUCUAUUACUGUUGGAUUGUUAAUUGAUCUAUUUGAGCGUUGGAUGUUUAAGUACAAUAAUUUCACUGGUUCACAAGAGCAAUAUACGUACAUUUGAUCAUUGAUUCAUGAUAUCAUUUAAAUGCAUUAUUGUGACGCUUAUUUGCUUAAUGACUUUACUGGACACUCGCUGAGCUUCUAGCUCACCCCAAAAAUAUUUUUCUCCCCACAGGGCUCGAGGCAAAGGAAGCGCUUGUAUUAAGUUCUUCGUGUGGCUGGAUGGAUUAUCUCGUGUAUAGUUUGAAUUUGGAAUUCAUCUUGUGUAAUAGUUGGGAUUGUAUGAAUGUUUGGAAUUGAACGGAUGUAUGUGUACGUUCCACGCUUGGAACUAGUAUUUGCUUUGUUUUGAUAUGUAUAUUCAUGGAGGAAUUGAUGUAUAUUUGAGAUUUACAUUGUAUUAUAUUUGAGGACUGUAGUGAGUGAGUGAGUCCCGGCGAGAGAUGGGCAGGCGGUCCGCCGAACCCUUUGAUUCGCCUUAGGAGGAGGUGGGGCUGUCUCAAUAUAAAACCUUAGCAAUAGUCAAAUUUAAAAAUUUAGCCAUCGUUGAUCAAGAAUAACCACAGAAAUAUACAAAAAGUGACAAAAAUUGGAUAAAAUUCAACAAAGGCGAACAAAAAAUUCCAACAAAAAUGCCUAUACUUGCACUUUUUUAAUAUACUGCCAAUAUACUACUCUCCCCCCCCCCACACCUAAAUAUUACAUUGUCCCCAAUGUAAAAUAAAAAAUAAAAUAAAAUUAAUGGGGAUAACGAAACUUCCCUGAUAACUGGGGGGAUCGUGGAUAGCUACGGGUGAGAGGCAAAUGACAUGUGGAGCUCGACGUUGGCCAACCAACUAUUUAUUUAGUGAACUCGCUCAUGCAGAUGUUUCAACUCGGCAGCCCAUGUAGUAGUCUUAGACAUGGGGGUGCCUUUGUCUUAGCCAUUUACACGCAGUUUUUGGGAUUGUUUUGGCUACAGCAAAGCAAAGUGCCAAGACAGAGUAGCUCCCUGUCGAUGUUGUGAGACAGAAACCCGUUGAAAAAUAGCACAGCGAACUUCCAAUGGCAGGCAAAAGGCAAAGUGAUCUUACCCAACAAGCAAUCAGCAAUAGCAAUUUAGUCUAACCGAGAUAACUUCAAUCCAUCUAAUCAGCAACAUAAAUCCUUCAAAAGUUAAUCGAAGUUGAGGCAAAUGGUAAAACAGCGAGUUUUGUUUUCUUCUUGCAGGAUGACAGCUUGCGCGAUGAGAAAGAGAGAGAUGGACGGUGUGCGGUGGUAGUGGACGAGCGGAGAGAGAGAGACGGCGGCGCGAUAUGUGGGCUGCAGUUUGGGGAGAAGAAAGAAAAGGAAAAGAAGAAAGAAACAAAGAAAGGAAAGAAAAGAAAGAAAGAAAGAAGAAAAAGAAGAAAAAGAAAAGAAAAAGAAAGAAAGAAAAAGGAAAAAGAAAAGCAGAAAUAGGAAAGAGUUUCGGUGAAAUUUUUUCUUGUUACCCUUCCCUAGGACACAACGUGGGCACGUCAUGAUGGUAUGAACCCUUCUGACAAUGACUCGUUGAAUAUGCGAGUUGGCGUGGGCAUGUUAUAAUGGUCCAAACGCUUCUGACGAAGAACUUGAGAAUUUGCGCAUUACCACGCGCCCUCAAGACGUGAGUGUGUCAUGUUAGUGGAAGCGCUUCUGAUGGUGGAGUAAACUAUUUGUGCAUUAUCACGUGCCCUCAAGGCGCAGGCACGUCAUGUCAAGAGGAAGUUUUCUGACCAUUGAAACAUCAAAAAUGAAAAUGAAAUACACCAAAUAUGAAAAAUCUAAGAUAAAUAUAAACUAAUAAAAAUAAACAAAAAAUUGAAUUGGGUUGCCUUCCAAUAAGUGCAUUUUUUUAAUGUCUUUGGCUAGAUAUUACUCUGUUUGUUCAGGGAGGAUAAAAUCUUGUGACUCGUUUCAGCUCUUCAUCCUCUAUAUAAUCCUGAUAGCUCUCGUAAAUAAAGUAAUCCUUAAGCACAUGAGCUAUGGUCUUCCAUGGACUAGUAGAUGGCGCCAAACAAGUCAACAAUAAUCUUAAUUUUUCAACCACUCCUCCAUCACACGCACUUAUUGGUUCAAGAUAUUUUGCCAUCGCCACUCUUAACUUAUUAUUGUUAUGAAACUCAAAAUUUUCUGGUAUAAUAAUGUCAAUAUCGCUAAUAGAAAUUAAAGAAUAAUAGUCAGGAGAAUGUUGAUUAAGGAAUAGAGGAGGUGUCACCACAUUUGGAGAUUGUUCGCUGGAUUCAUUCACUUGAACGAUUUGGUGUUGGAGUCUCAUUUCUUGCACUUGAAUUCUGUGAGGACCCGAAUUUUUACUUAUUUUAAUCUUAUUUUAAUGGCUUAAUUAAUUAUUUAUCCACCCGUUUUCUCCAAAUAAUUUAUUUCAACCAUUUUAAGUCCAUUCAUAUGGAACAAUGUCUUCCUUAUGUUUUUAAAACAUUCCGUUAGUAAAUUUAAUUUUCGAAGGUUCGUUUAAGUGAGAAAUAAUGAGUACAUGUGUUUCGAGGUGAUAUUCUAUUUGAGAGUGUAAUUAUCUUGGGAAAAUUAAGAAUGAUCAAUAGUAGAUUAAGAAAAGUUAAUUGAGGAAUUAAAGGUGAAUGAAAUUCUCCUUAUUUUCAAUUCCUAUUGCUAGCUUAUUUAAAAUAUUUAAUUGCCGUUUGCUCCGAAUAUUUUAUUUCAAUCUUUUUAGACCUAAUUACAUGGAUCUGUGACUUACAUGUAUUUUUAAAAUGAUUCGUUUCAAAAUUUAAUUUUUGAAAGCUCGUUAAGUAAGAAUAGUGAAUAUGCGUUUGGAGAUAAUGACCGAUUUGAGAGUACAAUAAGCUUGAAAAAUUGGAGACUUGUACAUUAGCCUUGAAAUAGGUAUUUUUAUGUUUAAGUGCUCAAGUGAUAGUUAGUUAUACUAUCGUUAUAAGAAUUUCUUGAAAAAUUCACUUUAUCGCGCUUAAAUCGGAAGUACGCGUUUUUACGCGCGCGAUCAAUUAAGGGACUUAAGGCCUUUAUUUUUUUGACCAUUAAGAGUGAAUAAUAAUAGUAUGAAUAUAAGUGCAUUAGAGGUUUAGUGCACAAGUGAAACAAACCCGAGAGGAAUCGAGCACAAAACGCACGCGUACGCGCACUAUUCCUAGUUGACUUUUGAAAUAACUUUUGGUCAAAUUCUAAAGCUUCUCACGGAAGCUUACUAUCAGCAUUAGCUCUUCUUUUCCUGCUCCAAAACAGCCGGCCAUCAAGAACAAAAAGGAACCAAGAAACACUUCCAUUUUCUUCAUCAAAUCUUGCUUCAUUUCUUACACAAAUCAACUCAAAUUCACACCACACUUAGCUAAUCACUUGGAGACCACAUUAAGCUACAAAAGGGGGCUGCUUUUCACGGUUUUUCUUGGCCAAGAGGGGACCGAAAAUUCUGCCUUUGUUCAUCACACAAGUAGGUAACAAUCCGACCAUCAAAUUUUGGUUUAUGGAAGUAGAAUUACGCGUAUAAACUCUUGCAUGCAUGUGGGUAGUCUUGUUUAUGAUGGAUUUUUGUUUGGUGGGCUCUAUGAACUCCCACCUUUGAUGGAAGGACUGAUUUGGUGAUUGAUGAUGAAAAUAAUGUUGGUUUAGUGCUUAUUAUACUAGAAAUGAGUGAUGCUAUGAGUAAAAACUCAAAUGAGGUGCAAUGGGAAAAAGUGACCAUUUUGCCCCUGGUUUGUUCGACCACUUUUGUGCAAAAUUUUGAGGUUCUAAUGGCUUGUUUAUGUUGUUUACAUGUUAUAUUGAUUGUGUAAAAAGUUUCAUGGAAAAAUAAUAUGAUUUGGUUGGUUAAAUGAAGUGAUUUCCAAAGUUUAGAAAACUGGAAAAUGAUUCCCGUCACUACCCAGACAGUCAUCUUGUUUCGGCUAUAAUUCAUCGCUCCGAUGUCAGAAUUGAGUGCCGUUUGCGGCACUGGAAACUAGACAUUCCCAGAUUUCAUUUGGUAUAAAAUGCACAUUCUGGUUCCUCUCGAGUGAGCCAAACCAUUUGUUUAAAAAUUGCUGUCCUGUUUCGUUUGUCACUGGGAGGCAGAUUAUGAACUACGAUUUGAUGCUCACGUAUGAGCUGGUUAUGGACAGAUUUUGAAAAUGGUUUCUUCUGAGAAAAUAUAACCUUAUGAGUCUAUUUUCUAAUGCCAUAAACCAUGCUCAAUUCCGAGUUGAAUUGAGUGAUUUAUGAUUGAAAUUCAAAACUGACUUUGUGAACGAAAACAGUGUUUUGGACUGAUUUGAAACUAACUAUGGUUUGGGACUUGUUAUCUGAAGCUUCUUAGUGUAAAUCAUCUAUCAAAUGUACCUUGAACACAUUUUGGACAUUUCCUACUGGAAUGAACCAUGUUUGAGAUUUCCCUUGACCAAAUGUUUGGAAAUGGCAAAACGGAAGUCCAAGGCAGAUUUGUCUUGGAACUCCUUGGAACUUUAGUGGUUUUGUUAACCAUCUUUCCGUGCAUAUUUUUCUACGAAAUUUUACAGAAAAAUAGUCCCUAUAUGGUAGUAUUAUACUACUAAAUUUGGUACCAUUUCGAGUCCGUUUUGCUGCUCAACUAAACUACCAAAGUUCAUGAUUUGAGUUUGGAAAACCCUUGAUUAACAAGGAAAUCUUAGUAACUUUGAGCUACCAUAUCUUGGUGCUCAAAACUCCAAAUCUCAUUCUGUUUGUUUUGUUUUAAACUUAGAUUGUAACUCUAAUAAAGUUCCAAAUUUCAGAGGUUAUUUCGGAUCAAGUGAAUUUUACCGAAUUUUCAAAAUUGGCCAAAAACCAACCUAAACCUGUCUUCAAUGCCCCAGAACAGCAACUUUGAGCUAAUUUUUGGAUACCUUGCAUUUGGAAUCAGGGAAAAUUUUCUUCUAAGAACUUUUAGUACUUUCUAAGAGGUUUCCAACGGUACCAAGUUUUCCAAUUUUGGACUUGUAAAGAGUGAGUUACGAUUUUUCAAAGAUCUCAUAUCAAAACUGAAAUUUCCAAAUCAUAAGGAAAUGGAGUUUUCGAAUUCUUCUUAUUCCUUCGAUAUUACUUGAACGUUGUAUACUUGAUUUCGAAGAUGAAAACUAGAUUUCUCUUGUGCUUUAAAAACCCCACUUUUGAGCCUUGAUUCACGAGUAAUUUAGGCUCGCUUUCGUGAAAUUUUCUUAGAUUGUACAAGUGUACAAUCAUUCGUGAUAAUUGGGAUUUAUACAUGAUAGUUCACUAUUAAUUGCUCAGACUUGCACGAGAACCUUCAAGAGGAUCCCACGGUGAACGCCUGACCUUCAAGUGAUAUUUCUUCCUUGUUUACUUGGUGAGUGUCAAGUAUGUGUUAAAUGCUUAUGUGAUUGAGAUAUUAGUUGUACAAGUGUUAUACAUGAUGCGUAAACUUGCCAAGUCGAGUGUGUACUUUAUCACACUCGUUCUCAUUUGAAAUAAAAGACUCAUACUUGACCUGACUUGACUUGCUUGACCUGACGUGACUUGACUUGAAAAAUAUGCUACGGCUGCAUAAGUCGAUUGGAGCGAUGUCUCAUCGACCUCUGAACGAUAGCAAGUAUCACACCGAUUUGGUGGGAGGUACCUCUCGAAUCGUCUCAAACCUAUUAAUUGAACGAUUGUAAGUACCACACCAAUUCAUGUGAGAGGUACCUCUCGAAUCGUCUCAGUACCCUAGACCUCUGAACGAUAGCAAGUACCACACUGAUUCGGGUGGGAGGUACCUCUCAAAUCGUCUCAGAACCCUAAAACAUUCUAAGUCGAUUGGAGCGAUGUCUCAUCGACCUCUGGACGAUAGUAAGCACCACACCGAUCCGGGUGGGAGGUACCUCUCGAAUCGUCUCAGAACUAUAAACUGAACGAUAGUAAGUACCACACCGAUUUGGGUGGGAGGUACCUCUCGAGUCGUCUCAGAAACAUAAAUGAAAUAUGUAAAGUGCUAUGAAUUUAAUUAUUUACCCGGGUGAUGGGGUGUCGUCACGAGAAUGUAUUGAAUUGAACUUGGAGCAAAGUAAACAAAGAUUUAGCUCCUGAGAGCUCCUACACCCUACUCAAGAGGGUUUAUUAUAAAUUUGUGAAUUUCUUGAAUGUUAUAGUUUUCACUAUUGUUCAAGUGCUAUUGCUAUUGAAUUACUUGUCUUGCAUGUUUUCUUGGUCUCACGAACAUCCGCUCACCCCGUUAGAUUUGUUUUUUCUUAACAGGAGCUGAAAUGGGAGGAAUUUUGGAGAAGCUUAAUUGAUACUUCACUUGAUUAGAAUUGUGAAUGUAUUUGUUUAGAAUUUGAUUUUGGAAGAUAUAUAUUUUGGGAAUGUAAAGUAAUUGGUUAGAUUAUGAUGUAAGACUUGAACGGUUAUGGAGGUAUUGACCUUCCUUUAUCUCUUCGAUUUUUAGUAUCGAUUGGUUAUUAUUGAGUGUAAAUUGAAUUAGUAUCGAGUUCUGGCGAGAGUUGGGCAGGCGUUCCGCCGAUACCCUUGGGUUCGCCCUUGGGAGAAGUGGAGCGUCACAAAUUCCCUUUUCAUUUGCAUCUUUAGAUCUUUUUUCUUGAGACUUUUACAAGUCCAUGUCACUUGUCAGGAUAAUUGUAUUCUCAUCUUCGUUAAAGUCAAUGAUGGUCUGUGAGGGCAAUUCUUCACACAUUUGAGAAGCCAAUUGCAUCACUCUAGAUGCCAUCAAACACAGUUGAUUCCUUAUGUUACGAAUGUUCAUUUCUGUUUCCUGUUGAAAUCGAUAUGUGUUAACGACUAGUGAUUUUAUCAUUUUUUCAAGAGAUAUACCUGACGUGGGUGAUGGCUGUUGUUGAAAAUCUAUUGGCUCUGUUGCAUAAUCAAAGUUGAAGUUGUCCCACCAUUCUUGAUCACACUCGUUUGAAUAAGGGUCAUAUCACGUUUGAGAUUAGGGUGAAAAAUCUCCAAAAGUAUUGAUUGGAGCACUCAGAUCAUUUUGAAAUAUGGGGCAUAUGUUCGUUGAAUGAUUUCAGACAUAAUAAGUUCUAAAAGUUGCAACAGCCAAUUGACCAUUAGAAAAACACGAGCCUCAUUACCCCUUCUAGAAAUAAAAUUCAGUUUAUCACCAAAAUACGGAAUAUUAGCAGCCAUUAACUAGUAAAAAAGAAGAAAAAAAUAAAAACAAAAACAAGAUGAAUUCAAAAAGAAACAAACUAAUCAGGCACCAGGCCCCGAGAACGAUGCCAAAAAUUGACAGUUAGGGGUGUCAAUGAAUCGAAUCGAGCUCGAAUACUAGUUUGAUCAAGUUCGAGUUUGACAAAGUGUUUAAGGCUCGAGAUCGACAAAUAUUAGUUUUACAUGCUCGAAUUCGAUUUGUAAGAAAAUCGUGAGCUUCGAGCUCAUGUUCAAAAUUGCUCGAAUUGCGUUCGAACUCGAGUUCAAGCUCGAGCCAUUAAAUAUUGUGCUCGUUUAAAAAGCCUAUUGAACCAAACAGUCUACUGUUCUUAGUAAGCAGAAUUUGCUCUUUCAUUCAGUCUUUUAUCUGCCAUUUGCAUUUGAAAAUUCAAGAAUUCCCACAGAAAUCUACAAAAUAAAAAAUUUCAAAAUCCAAAUUCAUCCAUAUGAUUGAGAGUAUGAGACAAGCCAGUUUUAAGUAACAAUUUAAAGUCCAAAGCAUCAAACUGUAAAAAAUUUUGCAAUCGUUAUGCCAACCAAUAUCCAAAUUCAUCCAUCCAUAUUUUAACAUCAAAAUUAGCAUCCAAAUUCAGAGAUAGGUCAAACAACCAACAUCCACCAAGUCACACAAAUAGAAAAAACAAAGACAAAGUGUCAACAUUCAAGUGAAUGUCUUCAACAUGCAAUGUCAAUUGUCAAGAAAUAACCAUACUUAAAAAAAUAAAACAAAUUUUGCAAUUAAAGCAGUAAAACAGCAGCUUGUUGUCCAUUCCACAAUAAACUUUUCCAACUUUUGUUUAUGGAUUACUAAGUGGCGACUUUUAUUUUUUAUUAAAAAUCAUUUUUAAACUAUAUUUUGGGCCAAAAAUCGUCGUACUUUUAAACCCCAUUUAGGCCCAUUUUAUUUAUUUACUUUCUAAAAUCCAAAACUCAUUUUUAUUCAAAAUAAAUCAAAAAUCCAUUUUCUAUAAACAAUUUAUUUUUCAUUUAAAAAUGAGGCGCGACAUGUGCAAAUCGAGAAGCAUUUUCCUCCUAUACUCCAAUAGGGGAUGAUGAAGAGGUGAUCUACUUUGGAGACUCACGAACUGCUAAAGUUCUGGGUAAGGGCAAAAUCUCCUGAAACUUACAUCUGGAAAAACUUUGGCCCUCAAUGAUGUGCUGCAUGUGCCAAAUAUUCAGGCAAAUUUGGUUUCUAUAGUAUUGUUAGGAAAAGUUGGGGUGAAGUGUCAUUUGAAUCUGACAAGAUUGUAAUGACAAAAAAUAAUGUAUUUGUGGGUAAGGGCUACUGUAAUUAGGGAUUCUUUGUACUCAACAUUUUAAAUGUGAUCAAUGGAAAUACAUCUUCUUCUGUUUAUAUUGUUGAUUCAAUUUCUUAUGGUAUACUAGAUUAGGACAUGCUAAUGUUAAGUACAUAAAGAAAAUGCAAUCACUUGGAUUACUUUCUAGUGUUAAUAAUAAUGACAUGGACAAAUGUGAAUUAUGUGAAUAAACUAAAAUAACUAAGAAAAGUUGUAUAACUGUUCAAAGAGAAAUUGAAUUAUUAAAUUUAAUUUACACAGAUUUAGGUGAUUUAAAACAAACUAUGAUUAGAGACGAAAAAAGAUAUUAUGUUACUUUUAUAAAUGAUUAUUCUAGAUAUAAUAGUUUAUUUACUUAGAAAUAAAAAUGAUACUCAUAAUGCUUUUUUAUCUUAUAAGUCUGAGGUAGAAAAUCAACUUAAUAAGAAGAUAAAAAGAACUAGAUCAGAUAGAGGAGGUGAAUAUUCAGUUUUAGAUAAGUUUUGUGAACAUGAAGGUAUAAUACAUGAACUAACACCUUCUUACUCACCAGAAUCUAAUGGAGUAGCAGAAAGAAAAAAUAGAACACUAAAAGAAAUGAUGAACUCUAUGUUAAUUAGUUCUCAUACUCCAGAUAACUUAUUGGGAAAAGCUAUAUUAUCUGCAUGUCAUCUGCAAAAUAGAAUUUCACAUAAAAAAUUGGCAAAACACCUUAUGAGUUAUGAAAAAAUUAUAAACCAAAUUUAAAAUAUUUAAAAGUAUGGGGGUGUCUUAUUAAAGUGUUAUUACCUGAACCUAAGAAAAGAAAAUUAAGUUCUAAAACUUCUGAUUGUAUGUUUAUUGGAUAUGCUGAACAUAGUGCUGCAUAUAGGUUUCUUGUUUUAAGAAGCGAUUUACUUGAUUGUAAUACAAUUAUUGAGACAAAGAAUGCUGAGUUUUUUGAACAUAUUUUUCCAUUGUCCAAUAGAAUUUCUCAUGUACCUGUUGAAAGAAAUAAAGAAAUAACCUCUACUGAGGAAUUGAGAAGAAGUAAAAGACCGAGAAAAGAAUUUUCCUAUAGAAAUGAUUUUCAAACAUUUCUUAUUGACAAUGAUCCUUUAACUUAUUCUGAUGCAAUUUCUUCUUCUGAUUGCAAGUUUUGGAAAGAAACAAUUAAAUCUGAAAUUGAUUCUAUUUUGAAAAAUAAAAAGUGGACUUUGGUAGAUUUACCCCCUAGUGCAAAAUCUAUUGGUUGCAAAUGAAUUUUUAAAAGAAAAUAUAAUUCUGAUGGUUCUAUAGAAAAAUACAAAACUCAUUUAGUAGGAAAAGGAUUUUCUCAGAAACAAAAUAUUGACUAUUUUGACACAUUUGCACCAGUAAUAAGAAUUUCUUCUAUUCGUGUAUCAUUUGUCUUAGUUUCUAUCCAUAAACUUGUUGUUUAUCAAAUAGAUGUCAAAACAGUUUUUUUAAAUGGUGAUUUAGAAGAAGAAAUUUUGUAUGUUUCAAUCUGAAGGAUGUGUUGUAUCUGGACAAGAAAAUAAAGUAUGUAAAUUAAUUAAAUCUCUUUAUGGCCUAAAACAAGCUCCUAAGUAGUGGCAUGAGAAAUUUGAUCAAGUAUUGAUAAAAGACGGAUUUUCGUUUGUAGAAAUGGAUAAAUGUGUAUAUACUAAAUUUGUGAAUAAUCAAUAUGUGAUAAUUAACCUAUAUGUGGAUGACAUGUUUAUAUUUGGUACAAGUAUAGAUAUUGUUAAUAGUACUAAAUAUUUUUUUUCUUCUAAUUUUGAUAUGAAAGAUUUGGGUGAAACUAAAAUGAUAUUGGGUGUUAAAAUCAUAAGGAAAAUGAUGGUAUAAUUUUGUCAUAAGAACAUUAUAUAGAAAGACUUCUUAGCAAGUUUGAAAAUUAUGAUGUGACACCUAUAAGUACUCCUUAUGAUGCUAACAUUCAAUUAAAGAAAAAUAAUGAUGACCUAAUUGCUCAGUCUAAAUAUGCUCAGAUUAUUGGGAGUCUGAUGCAUAUGAUGAAUUUCACAAGAUCUGACAUAGCUUAUGCUAUGUGUAGACUGAGUAGAUAUACUCACAAUUCUAAAAGUGAGCAUUGGUUUGCAUUAAUCAGACUAAUGAAAUAUUUGAGAGGUACCAUAAAUUAUGGUAUCUUAUAUUGUGGAUUUUUCACUGUAUUAGAAGGGUACAGUGAUGCUAAUUGGAUUUCGGAUUCAAAUGAGACAAAAUCCACUAGUGGUUAUGUAGUUACCCUUGGUAGUGGUGCAGUAGUACGGAAGUCAGCUAGGCAGACAAUCAUUAUUAGGUUAACUAUGGAAUCAAAGUUUGUAGUUCUAGAGUUUACUGGUUCUGAGGCUGAUUGGUUAAGAAACUUCUUAGCCAAUAUUCCUCCGACUAAGGAUCUGUUGCCUCCUAUAUUCAUACAUUGUGAUUGUCAAGCGGCAAUUGCUAUUGCAAAAAAUAAAUCAUAUAAUUGUAAAAGUCGACAUAUGAAACUAAGACAUGAUGUCGUAAAGCAGCUGCUUAGAGAUGGAAUUAUUUCCAUUGAUUUUUUGAAGUCAGAGUUGAACUUGGCCGAUCCUCUGACUAAACCUGUAGGAAGAAAAUUAAUUCUUCAAACUACAAGGGAAAUGGGAUUGAGGCCAACAAAUUGUCAAUAGAGAUAGUAACCUAACCUAUGUGAUUGGUGAUCCCAUGAAAUAGGUUUAUAUGGAUAAUAACAAGUCAAUAUUGACCGUAAAGUACUUCAAAUCUAAGUCUCUCCGGAGAUAAGUGCUUUGAUUGCUAGUAAUUGUGAGGAUGAGUUUAAAAUUCUUAAUAAAUUCAUAUCUCUUUAGGGAGGUGUAUUUAAAGUAAUAUACACUCGAUGAAUUCACCUAUAUGAGAGUGGAGUGGGGCCGCUCCUAUAAGAUUUAUUGGCCGAAUCUUUAUAGCUCUCAUGAAUAACCAGACAGGCGCAUGGCCUAAUAGCGUAAAACCGCGUUAACAGCAAAUUAUGGGUUGCAAUGUGAUUGAUAAAAUCUCUAUCAUACAUCAAGAGUUAUUGGUUCAUAGAAAUUUAUAUUUCACCAAUAAUUCUGUAGGUCAUGUUUUGUCAAUUUAAGUUUGGUUCAUAGUCCAAAAGACACCACACUAAUUACAUUUCACCCAAAUAAAUCCAGCGGAUUAUUUUCUUAUCUUUUGACCAAAAUCUUUUGAAAUACGAAGGAGAUUGUUGUAAAUAAAUGUAUUUCAAAAGAUUCUUGGCCCAUGUUGUAAACUAGAGGAAGUUAUCUUGGAUAAAAGUUUGACCCUUUCAAAGUUUUAUCUGCACAACUAUUUCAAAACUUUAGCAUGUGCACUCUGAAGGAUAAAACUUUACCUACAAUCUAAUAGCUUUGACCACAACGGUUCUGUUGGUUCCUAAACAUUUGCAUCACAUGGAUAAAAUCCAUGAUUCUCUUAACAGUCAACAAACGUGACUUUUGAUCCCUUUGCACGUUACUUUUUCUAGACCUAUAAAUACUAGGCAUUCUUGUUUCUCCAAGUACAUCACCAAACUUUCCAAAAGUCAUUCUCUCUUUCUCUUGCUCUCUGGUCUUUAUUUUACUUCUCCUACUCUCUGUUGGAUAUAGUGCAACUUGCUGUUCUUGUUCCUUCUUGAUUUAAGAAGAUGGCUUGUUUAAUCCUGGGGAAAUAUUUCAGUAUCCCUAAAAUAGUUCUUAGAACAGUACUAUUUAGCACAACUCAAGCGUGUUCGUGUUCCUCAUUUAGUUACUAGUGUUAGCAUUGUUAAGCAUUUGUUCCUACAGUUAAGUCAUUAUGUGGCUUGAAACAAGCACCUAAAUAAUGGUAUAAAAAAUUUGAAUAUGUAUUACUUUCAGGUGAAUUUAGGUACAAUAAUACUAACAAGUGUGUUUAUUCUAAACUCACUCAAGAGUAUAGUGUGAUAAUUUGUCUCUAUAUAGAUGACACAAUAAUUGUUAGUAAUACCAUGAAAUGUGUUGAAAACACUAAGAAGUAUCUUUUUUCAAGGUUCAAAAUGAAAGACCUUGGCCAGGUGGAUACCAUCUUAGGUAUUAAAGUUAGGAAACAAUAUAGUGGGGGUUAUGUUCUAUGUUAAUUUCACUAUAUUGACAAGAAGAUAUUGAACAAGUUUUAGUAUCUUAAAAUCAAAGAAGUGAGUACUCCCUUUGAUCCUAACUUGAAGUGUUAUGAGAAUUCUAAAAUUCUAUUGCUCAACUUGAAUAUACUAGUGCAAUUGGAAGCAUGGUGUAUGCAAUGAAUUGCAUAAGACUGAAUAUAUCAUAUGCAGUUUGUAAGCUUGCUAGAUAUAUUAAUAAUCCAGGUAUAGAUCAUUGGAAGUCUAUUGAAAGAAUUUUUGGUUAUCUUAAAAGAACCAAGAGUCUAGAACUCUUUAAUAAUAAAUUUUCAGCACUACUUGAAGGUUUCUCAUAUGCUAGUUGGUUCACUAAUGUGAGUAAUAAGAAUUCCACAACUAGGUAGAUAUUUAAUUUGGAUGGUGGUGCAAUCUCAUGGGCUUUUAAGAAGUAAACCAUGAUUGCCCUCAUUCCACAAUGGAAGUUGAAUUUAUAGAUUUGGCUGCUACGUGUAAAGAGGCAGACUGGUUUAGGGACUUGUCACUUGAUACCA